rnacentral:rRNA from 1 species
AGCUCCAAUAGCGUAUAUUUAAGUUGCUGCAGUUAAAAAGCUCGUAGUUGGAUUUCGGAUGGGUUCCGUCGGUCCGCCGCUUCGGUGUGCACCGGCGGCGCCCAUCUUGCUGCCGGGGACGGGCUCCUGGGCUUAAUUGUCCGGGACUCGGAGUCGGCGAGGUUACUUUGAGUAAAUUAGAGUGUUCAAAGCAGGCCUACGCUCUGAAUACAUUAGCAUGGAAUAACACGAUAGGACUCUGGCCUAUCUUGUUGGUCUGUAGGACCGGAGUAAUGAUUAAGAGGGACAGUCGGGGGCAUUCGUAUUUCAUUGUCAGAGGUGAAAUUCUUGGAUUUAUGAAAGACGAACUACUGCGAAAGCAUUUGCCAAGGAUGUUUUCAUUA